GGCCCAUACCUCGAGCUAUUUCUGAAGAUGGGACCUGUGGGCCCUGCUACACCAAACCCUGCCCCGUUAUGAAGCACCCGGGGCCGGAGAACACAGCCCCACGCUGGGUACCCCUAGUCUCCUCCGCGCUGCCGCUCCAGAAACUCCUACAGAACCCGCGUCCGGACGCUCCUUGCAGCAAACCUUCGGCUCAGACCCGUCCGGACGCCUUCACGUCCAUACUCCAUCCCAGAUGUUCCGGUAUAACUCCCCGAACCCCUCCCACGCCACUUUCUCCUACACUGCACUUUUUUCCUUUUCUGCGCGGGCCUCUUCCCUUCUCAGUGCCACUUUCUUCCUUUCCUUUGCUCCCCCAGCCCCCAUGCCAGAGGGAUCCCUCUGCAUAAUCAGUAUAAUCAGUGACCUGAAUGGUGGGUUUUCCCACCUCUAACACACAGACCCGAACACCCACACACAAACACUAUACCACUCAGAUCGGAAGAGGGU